CAGGUGUUGAAUGAUGAUCAUUGAGUGAUCCAUCGGCAGAGUCUUGUCACGAUGCUGAGUCUCAGAAAAUCUGACAGCACCUU
ensembl:snoRNA